rnacentral:rRNA from 1 species
GACGAACGCUGGCGGCGUGCUUAACACAUGCAAGUCGAACGGAAAGGCCCUGCUUUUGUGGGGUGCUCGAGUGGCGAACGGGUGAGUAACACGUGAGUAACCUGCCCUUGACUUUGGGAUAACUUCAGGAAACUGGGGCUAAUACCAGAUAGGAGCUCCUGCUGCAUGGUGGGGGUUGGAAAGUUUCGGCGGUUGGGGAUGGACUCGCGGCUUAUCAGCUUGUUGGUGGGGUAGUGGCUUACCAAGGCUUUGACGGGUAGCCGGCCUGAGAGGGUGACCGGCGACAUUGGGACUGAGAUACGGCCCAGACUCCUACGGGAGGCAGCAGUGGGGAAUAUUGCACAAUGGGCGGAAGCCUGAUGCAGCAACGCCGCGUGCGGGAUGACGGCCUUCGGGUUGUAAACCGCUUUCGCCUGUGACGAAGCGUGAGUGACGGUAAUGGGUAAAGAAGCACCGGCUAACUACGUG